AUGUUGAAACACCUGUUCCCAUACAAUCGCCAAAGUUAAGCAACAUCAAGCCUGGUCAGUACCUAGAUGGGUGACUGCCUGGGAAUAUAAGUUGCUGA